rnacentral:rRNA from 1 species
AGCAGUCGCCACGGUAAUACGUAGGUGGCAAGCGUUGUCCGGAAUUAUUGGGCGUAAAGGGCUCGCAGGCGGUUUCUUAAGUCUGAUGUGAAAGCCCCCGGCUCAACCGGGGAGGGUCAUUGGAAACUGGGAAACUUGAGUGCAGAAGAGGAGAGUGGAAUUCCACGUGUAGCGGUGAAAUGCGUAGAGAUGUGGAGGAACACCAGUGGCGAAGGCGACUCUCUGGUCUGUAACUGACGCUGAGGAGCGAAAGCGUGGGGAGCGAACAGGAUUAGAUACCCCUGUAGUCCCUGUCUCUUAUAA